UACCAGGUGAAACUUGACUUCCAGGACGAGCGCUCCGUAGUUUCUGCGCUCAAGGUCCACUACCUGCAGGAACUCGACUUUCAGGACAAGCGCUCCGUAGUUCCUGCGCUGCAGGUCCGCGCUGCCUGGUGAAAUUCGAGUUCUAGGACAAGCGCUCCGUAGUUCUGACUGUCGAGAUCCUUGACCUGACGACUUUUGACCUUACGGAUUAUUUUCAGGUUUACAAGUUUGAUUAUUGGAAACGUCAUGUUUUUUACUAUCAAACCAGUAUUCAUGCUUCAUAUAACAUGUUGAAUCGAACCCAAAAACCGAACGACCAGGAUCAACAAAUUGUAAUUGAUGAGUAGUACAUGACAAUACCGUCGUUCCAUUAUAGCUAAAAUUGCUGUGCGUAGUGUUUCAAAUCUGUCAGCACUUAGCUGAUUGUUCUGUGGUAUUUUUUCACGAAAUUUAUUGUCAUAAAAUCACAAUACGUUAUACCUACGUGCAUGUGUAAACGUGAUUUGUAGCAUUAUGUAGAAAAAAUUUUACGGGCAGAUUCGGUUUGCGUCACAUGCACAAAGACAGUGUUGAUUCUGUAUACAAUGAAGCAAAUACCAGAACUUUUUGGGGACUCAUCGUGCCCCAGUCACCCCUAAAACUAUGUCAUCUGGUAAAACACUGACAACGAGGAAGCCAGCGUACGAGCACAAAAACCAGUUACACUAGGCAUCCGACCCCGAGCAAGCUUUGGCGACAAAACUUACGCACUCCAUUUUUCUUCCCAAUUCGAGAAUCCAGUAGCGAGGCGCUUCAAUGGCCAGCUCAUCACGUCGCAUUUUACGACAAUUGAUGACAUGAAAAUUUUUUUGGUAGUUUCCAAAUGUGAGUUGAAAUACACUCGAAAUAUUAGAUAGCUUCGUUAGUUAUCUCUCAUUACAAAAUAAAUAGACAACAAUGAACGUUUCGCUUAAGAAUGAUCGUAUUUGAUUGAUUUGAAGAAAAAUAUGUGUACUUUUCUCGAUCUUUCAUAUGGCAGCAUUUAAAGAACCCGGUUUCCACUUUGAACCGACACGAAAGAUAUUUUUUGUCCAUUAUCUGAUUUUAUUAUUCACCUUUUUUCGGUGUUACUUGAAUAUUUAGUUAUACAAUUAUUGAUUGCUUUCAGUUUUCAACCAUUUGUAUACCAUAAUAAUAUAAAUGCAAUAAUUAUGAUCAACUAUUUUCAUGUAAACCAAUAACAAAAAGCUAUGUGACUAUUUGUGCACGUAUUUGAGGUAUAACCCGAGGUGAUAAGCGGUGGUCGUCGGACGUAGUUGAAGGUGAUCGGAGGUGGUUAGAGAUGGUUGCGGGUGAUCAAGGUGGACGAGGAGGAGGACGAGGAAGACGAGGAGAACAAGGUGAACAAAGAGGACAAGGAUCAGUGCUCGGUAUAACACGAGGUGGUUAGCGGUCGUCGUCGGAGGUGGUUUGAGGUGGUUACGGGAUGGUUGCGGGUGAUCGAGGAUUCCAAGUAUAUGACAACAGCGAUACCUUAUCACAUGGACAAUGGCCCACCUCAUAAUCAAGCUUUACAAGUCCUCAUUAAGAUAUUAAAGGCUAUUAAUGAGGAUAGUCCAACGGUGCCCACAUUAUUAACGGACUACAUAUUGAAAGUUCUGUGCCCCACCUACUGAUCCACUGGUACAUAUCCUCCGACAUCUGAAGAGCGUC